UGGCGGACGGGUGAGUAGUGUCUGGGAAACUGCCCGAUGGAGGGGGAUAACUACUGGAAACGGUAGCUAAUACCGCAUAACGUCGCAAGACCAAAGAGGGGGACCUUAGGGCCUCUUGCCAUCGGAUGUGCCCAGAUGGGAUUAGCUAGUAGGUGGGGUAACGGCUCACCUAGGCGACGAUCCCUAGCUGGUCUGAGAGGAUGACCAGCCACACUGGAACUGAGACACGGUCCAG
rnacentral:rRNA from 1 species